ACAUCAGUAUCAAUUGCCAAGGACACCCAUGAUGCACUGCUGGACCUGAAAUUCAUGUUCUACUAUAACCUGUCUAUGACGAGGAUCAAAAUACCAUCAAACGUCACCUGUACUCGCUGUGGUCUGCAGGUGGAGGCUGCGGUGAAGGAGUGCAUGGGCUGCGAGCCACACACCGUCAUGACAUCCUGCGCUUUCAUCCGUGUUACCAAACGAGGCAACAUUCUGAUACCCAUCUUACCCCCCUCCCGCCCUGACCAACCCCUGCCCCGCCCCAACCGACCCUCACUCCCCGACACGCCACACAUUCCGCCCCCAGCGCCCUGCCUACAGUCCCAUUGGCCCCACCCGUACUACCCCAUGCGUCCCCCACCAACUAGCCGCCCGCGUUCCUCCCCAAUUCCGUCCCAUUCACCCCCCUCCAAGCCCCUACAUAAGGUAUUAGAAGCACUCCAAGGUGGAAAUUUCUUUUUUUUUUCUUUUUCUAUUCUAUGCAAGAGAAAAAAACCAGCUAAAGACAAGAAAAUAUAAAAAAAAGGGCCAUUUGAAAUUCCAGCUCCCUUAAAGAUUGAAUUUAAGUGUGUGUGUGUGUGUGUGUGUGUGUGUGUGUGUGUGUGUGUGUGUGUCCUGGUAAGGUUGUGACACUUGAUAUAUGACACUUGACACACGGAUGGAUGCACGCUGGUUGUCAUUCGUGCAGUUAUGAAACUCGCGAUACAGUUUGGUGAGUUUUGUGCACGUAAGGCUGUCUCAUUCAAUAAAGUUACCACAGGCAUCAA